GAUGAACGCUAGCUACAGGCUUAACACAUGCAAGUCGAGGGGUAGCAGGGUAGCAAUACCGCUGACGACCGGCGCACGGGUGAGUAACACGUAUCCAACCUUCCCAUAACUCGGGGAUAGCCUUUCGAAAGAAAGAUUAAUACCCGAUAGUACUUAUAUAGGGCAUCCUACAUAAGUUAAAGAUUUAUUGGUUAUGGAGGGGGAUGCGUUCCAUUGGGUAGUUGGUGAGGUAACGGCUCACCAAGUCUUCGAUGGAUAGGGGUUCUGAGAGGAAGGUCACCCACAUUGGUACUGAGACACGGAACAAACUCGUGCGGGAGGCAGCAGUGAGGAAUAUUGGUCAAUGGGCGGGAGCCUGAACCAGCCAAGUAGCGUGAAGGAUGAAGGUCCUAUGGAUUGUAAACUUCUUUUAUAGUAGAAUAAAGUGAUCCACGUGUGGAUUUUUGUAUGUAUACUAUGAAUAAGGAUCGGCUAAGUCCGUGCCAGCAGCCGCGGUAA
rnacentral:rRNA from 1 species